GCCGCGUUAGCUCAGUGGUAGAGCACCCGCCUUGUAAGCGGACGGUCGUCAGUUCAAUCCUGACACGCGGCUCCC
rnacentral:tRNA from 1 species